AUUGAACGCUGGCGGCAGGCCUAACACAUGCAAGUCGAACGAGUGGCGGACGGGUGAGUAAUGUCUGGGAAACUGCCCGAUGGAGGGGGAUAACUACUGGAAACGGUAGCUAAUACCGCAUACCAUCGGAUGUGCCCAGAUGGGAUUAGCUAGUAGGGGGGGUAACGGCUCACCUAGGCGACGAUCCCUAGCUGGUCUGAGAGGAUGACCAGCCACACUGGAACGGUGACACGGUCCAGACCCCUCCGGGAGGCAGCAGUGGGGAAAAUGGCACAAGGGGCGCAAGCCUGAUGCAGCCAGGCGGCGUGUAUGACGAAGGCCUUCGGGUGGUAAAGUACUUUCAGCGAGGAGGCGUUACUCGCAGAAGAAGCACCGGCUAACUCCGUGCCAGCAGCCGCGUAAUUC
rnacentral:rRNA from 1 species